UACGAAGGGUGCAAGCGUUAAUCGGAAUUACUGGGCGUAAAGGGAGCGUAGGCGGCUUUUUAAGUCGGAUGUGAAAUCCCCGGGCUUAACCUGGGAAUGGCAUCCGAUACUGGGGAGCUAGAGUUUGGGAGAGGGUGAUGGAAUUCCCGGUGUAGCGGUGAAAUGCGUAGAGAUCGGGAGGAACAUCAGUGGCGAAGGCGGUCACCUGGCCUAAAACUGACGCUGAAGCUCGAAAGCGUGGGGAGCAAAC
rnacentral:rRNA from 1 species